CAAAGUAGUAGUAAAGAUCAUUUAUCUAAAAUAUCAUGUUAUAAUCAGAUGCUAUUUACCCUUUUGAUCACUCAAUUUUUAUUUAACGAUCUAAAUCAUUUUAUGCUUAAUUGAUCAUGAUAAUAAUAUCUGAUUGAAGUAAAAUUUUGAUAGUAUAAUAUAAAUAUCAUCAAGAUCAUCAUUAUAAAUUUUUAGAUCCAUCAGUGGUCUCUAUCUAUCAGAUCAUCAUACGAUCUUUUAUGACCAUCGAAAUCAAAUUUUAAUUAUCAACAUACCUAUUGCCAUC
rnacentral:lncRNA from 1 species